rnacentral:miRNA from 1 species
UCUCGGACCAGGCUUCAUUCCCC